GGAGGAGGAGGAGCAAGACAUCAUCUUGGUGAUCCAGCAGCACCUGCAGGGCAGAGCUGAGGCUCUGCACAACCGCCAUUUGCGGAGCCUGGACACCAUCCUCAGGGGCUGCCUAACAGAGACCCCCACCGUGGAGAAGCUGCAGCACCUCCUGGAGCACAUCCAUCGCUCUCUCCUGGCAAAAAACACCCAGGAGAGAGCCAGGGCCGUCCAGACCAGCGCGGCCCUGCUCCAGUUUGCUACCUCCCUGCCUGGAUUUGACACCUCCUCCACCUUCUCCAAGGCAGGUGAAUUUGUGCUGCAGCUGGGUCUCUGUGCAUACCACCCAGCCAGUGACAUCAGUCGGCAUGCCAAGGGUGG